rnacentral:sRNA from 1 species
UUCUAAAAUUACGGCUACAUAAGUUAUCGC